UGUGUGUGACUGUGUCCGCGCGUGUCUAUGCCGCUAAUGUAUGUCUGUGUGUGUGUGACUGUGUCCGCGCGUGUCUAUGCCGCUAACAAGGCGCACAGGCCUCUCAUCGCCUCGUCCACAGCUCGGAGCGUUGCCGCGCGUGCUGCGGCUCGACCUGCGCAGCGCUGUUUGCUGCCGGACCUGCUGUACAGCACCGCCGGCCAGUGGAGGGCACGUGCACGCCACUCUGUUGUGGAAGACUGGAGGUGGCGAGGCCAGCCCGGCAACCACUACACAACUAACCCAGUCAUGUGCGCGCCGCGUCUGUCGUGCUGCAGGCCACACACAAGCUUCACAUGCAGCACCACCACAACCACCACCAGCAGCAGCAGCAACAUCGUCACUUCUUUUCUCGGCGAGAAACCGUGACGUGCGGCCUGGGCUGGUGACAACUUGGAUGUGACCGAGGCAAUAGUUUGACUUUGUUCCCCAGUGUCCACUUCACAAGUUUCUAGAUGAUAAGAACCUGAGAUUUUGCGAGCCACGAAAGACGCUUGCGGUGAGGAGGACAAACUUUCGCCAUUCGCACCCACAUUUACAGGAGCGGACUCGAACAUCUUGCUGCAUUUGUGCUUAAUUUUCCCAUGUUCGAUUUUCCCUAACCCUGGAUAUUCCUCGACAUCGCAACUGGAAUAUGCCAAGGGCACUCGAACCCCGCUGCAUCAGUGAUGAGCACGGCUGUCCGCACGGGAGGAGAGGAGACAACCAGUGCAUCACUUAGGGGUAGGGAGGGGAGGAGAAUACAGAAGGGGGCACUCACCCGCUCUUUCGACGUUGAGGAGGAACCGGGACAACCUAACCAGACGUGACCUGGAGCUUGACCCUGAACGCGACCGCACGCUUGGCUCUGAGGCGGAGAGUGGCAGCUAGCAUCUCGUUCCCCCCUGGUCCCCCCACUGCACGGUCGGGUGGUAGUCAAGGUCGGGUUUGUGCACCCUGCAGGCGUCAACGUGCACCCCGCUGUGUUUGCUUCGUCCACAGAAGCUCGCGUGCAUUCCACACGCGCCUCGCUCGCCAUCGCCCGCAUCAGUCUCGUGUGACUGCCCCGAGAUUCCCCGCGAGACUUUCCACAAACUUACUCUUCUCCUGCUGCAUGUAUCGCCGCAUCUGGAAGACGUGACUACGGCAGCACAGUCGUCCCCCGAGCCACGGGUAUGCCGGGUAUGCCGGGUGCACUGCUACAGUUUCUUGUGACCGAGCGCACGAAAUGUUGGUCAACCAACCAUCAAGCACCAAGACUUUGAUUAUUCACGAUCCUCGCGGUCUUCGAGACUCGAUUCUGCUUCAGGUUCUGCUGGGAGGUUCCGUGGUGAGUCCGUGUGGUCUGCUCGACUAUUAGCUUUCAAACCAACUUGACAUGAUCGAUGGUCGGGCGUGAAAAACAAACGCCACUGAUAAGACUUACAUAGAAAACGGAAACUUGCUUCGUGCCACAGUCUUGUCGUCGCUGAAGUAAUUGAAUAAUCUCACUGGAGGCUGGAAAGUUCUAGAACAAGUGACAAGAGCUGAAAGGUUCACAGCGUACCGAAGCUUUGGAUGCUAAUUUACACUACAUCUUUCACUGGAUGGGUGACCUUUGUGCUGACCUGCAGUGUCCGUCAUUCGGAAGUGCUGCAGCCUACCGUCAUGCUGAAUGAGUACCGUUAUUCCUGGCAACGAUCGAUGUUGGAAGGUCUGCUUUCGUUUCUCAUCCAACCCCGGGUGAUACGUGGACCAGUCACGUGCAGGCAACGCACACGAAAGCCCGUAUGUCUAUGCACACAGACGCGCUGCAGACGGAAGGAGUGUAUAUGCGGAUGAAGGAAUGUGAGAAGCAUCAGUCUAAAAAAAGGAACAUAAGUAACUGGUCGCAUCUUAA